AUGGCCCAGGAUCGCCCCCCGUCAGCGAGGAUUCGCCCACGGGGGACAUUGGC
rnacentral:sRNA from 1 species